rnacentral:rRNA from 1 species
AGACAGAGGCCUCAAGCGUUAGGCGGAAUCACUGGGCUUAAAGCGUGUGUAGGCGGAUCGUUAAGUGUCUUGUGAAAUCCCACGGCUCACCCGUGGAACUGCUUGGUAUACUGCUUUUCUUGAGCCACUUAGGGGCUGUCGGAACAAACGGUGGAGCGGUGAAAUGCGUAGAUAUCGUUUGGAACGCCAACGGUGAAAACAGACAGCUGGGAGUGUGCUGACGCUGAGACACGAAAGCCAGGGGAGCGAACGGGAUUAGAUACCCCGGUAGUCCUGGCCCUAAACGAUGUCGACUAGAUCGUGGUGGCUCUGACGCCAUCACGGUCGAAGCAAAAGUGCUAAGUCGACCGCCUGGGAAGUACGGUCGCAAGGCUAAAACUCAAAUGAAUUGACGGGG